GACGCAUAAGCAAAAGGAAAUAAUAUAUAUAUAUAUUUGAUAUCCUAGGUAGAAACGUCGAUUGCACCGGACUAUAGAGCUUUUCAAAGCCUCUUUUAAUGAUGGCAAGUGACAUUUGUGAUCACCAUGUGGUGAGCAGAGGAAACUCCCCUCUUUUCCAUCCUCAUCUCAGGAGCCUUCACUCAAGGAGCAAAGGUCUGUGUGAUCAGUAUCUUAAAACGUUGGGGACUGAACCUUUACUUCAUUGCUGUCUGYUAUCUCUCAGGAACUGGUGGAUCAAGAACUUCUUCUCCAGCAACAAACCUACUGCAACGAGCCUACAGAGAUGGACAAUACCAUAGCCAGACUCGGACACUGACUAACUCAUAGAUGGAGGGUCAUACUUCUGAGUAUGUGUGGGCUAUCUUUACCAUUCAUGCAGGAACAGAGAACAACAUUUCAUCAGACUAAGAGAACAAGUCAAAAAAACUAUUAAUUACGUUUAUUGCAGAUCCGAGAUUAACUCAUUUUUUCUCCUUCCUGUAAACUAGUGCUUUUAUUUUUGUUGGGGUAAUGUAUUCUGUGAUGACAUCAUGUAAAUUACAAAUGAAGCAAAAGAUGUAAUUA